UCCCAGACUCCUACGGGAGGCAGCAGUGGGGAAUAUUGCACAAUGGGGGGAACCCUGAUGCAGCGACGCCGCGUGAGCGAAGAAGUAUCUCGGUAUGUAAAGCUCUAUCAGCAGGGAAGAAAAUGACGGUACCUGACUAAGAAGCUCCGGCUAAAUACGUGCCAGCAGCCGCGGUAAUACGUAUGGAGCAAGCGUUAUCCGGAUUUACUGGGUGUAAAGGGAGCGCAGGCGGCGCGCCAAGUCUGGUGUGAAACCCCGGGGCUCAACCCCGGGACUGCAUUGGAAACUGGCGGGCUGGAGUGUCGGAGGGGCAGGCGGAAUUCCUGGUGUAGCGGUGAAAUGCAUAGAUAUCACGCAGAACUCCGAUUGCGAAGGCAGCGCACCGGCGCCCUACUGACGCUCAGGCACGAAAGCGUGGGUAUCGAACAGGAUUAGAUACCCGCGUAG
rnacentral:rRNA from 1 species